rnacentral:rRNA from 1 species
UACGAAGGGGGCUAGCGUUGCUCGGAAUCACUGGGCGUAAAGGGCGCGUAGGCGGACUUUUAAGUCGGGGGUGAAAGCCCAGGGCUCAACCCUGGAAUUGCCUUCGAUACUGAGAGUCUUGAGUUCGGAAGAGGUUGGUGGAACUGCGAGUGUAGAGGUGAAAUUCGUAGAUAUUCGCAAGAACACCAGUGGCGAAGGCGGCCAACUGGUCCGAUACUGACGCUGAGGCGGCGAAAAGCCGUGGGGAGCAAACAGG